rnacentral:snoRNA from 1 species
GCUGCCCCUAGAGGCGUUGCAUAUGUGGCUGCGGUGUCACGUGUGUGUCAUCAGGUGGCAGAGAGAAGAGAGGCUUGUCUACGCCCAGUGUUCUGGCCUGUGAACGUCUGGAUGAUUGAUAGUCUGACACU